GGGAUAUUAACUCAGUUGGUUCAGAGUGUCACGUCGACAACGUGGAAGUCACUGGUUCGAAUCCAGUAUGUCCCA
rnacentral:tRNA from 2 species